GAGGUGGGCCAGGCGACCGCGGGGCGCGUUCGCGCGCCAUGAGGAAAGUCCGGGCUCCACAGGGCAGGAUGCCGGCUAACGGCCGGGCGGGGUAACCCGACGGAAAGCGCCGCAGAAAAGAAGACUCCCGCUGGCGGGUUCGCCCGUUGAGGGAAAAGCUGAAACGGUGGUGUAAGAGACCACCAGCGUCGUGGCAACACGGCGGCUUGGCAAGCCCCAUCCGGAGCAAACGCAAAUAGGAGCGCCAUGGUGUGGCCCGCACCGCGCUCGGGUUGCGCGCUCGAGGCGACCGGAGACGGUCGUCCUAGAUAAAUGGCCGCCCACGACAGAACCCGGCUUACAGGCUCACCUCGCAC
rnacentral:RNase_P_RNA from 1 species